UGUAGCUCAGUGGUAGAGCACUUGCCUAGCAUGUCAGAGGCCCUGGGUUUAACCCCCAGCA
rnacentral:tRNA from 1 species